UUCGGUUACUAAAGAUAGACAAAUCUAUAUUUUUGUCCUUACUUACGUUCCAAUAACCUAUCGACGGGCAGCAGUUCCUAUCGGAUUUAUCUAUCCAUCGUCGGGAGGACGGAUAGCCUGCUAAAGAUAGAACGCUCAUACAAAUCGUGCUUACUUCCGUUUCAAUAUGAGUUUUAAGUAACUCUCCGGUAGGCGGCGCUAUCUCUAGUAUGGGCAUUCGCAUAUCUGUCAAAAUCGGCCGGUUACAUGUUUAUCUUUCGAAAGUAAAUCGCUAUAAUUUAAUAAUUGUUUCUCUUCAUAUUGGCAUAUUGUAGCAGUGAUGAUAGUGAUAUGGAAUUAUUUCAAAUGAUAAUGGAUUGUGAUGCAGAUAGUGAUAGUGAGGCCGAUAUCAUAUGGUUAGGAAAAUAAAGAUCGUCUGAAUUACAUGGCGAAGAUCAAUAAUUACGAAUUUGACUAUAGAUUUCUGAGCAAAGGUGUUGUGAAUGAAUUGAUUAAUUUAAUGAGACCAUAUUUGAGUGUAACGUCAAAAAGAUUCAAAUAUAGGAGAGGAAUUUAGAAAUAGAAAAAGAGUAUUUUGAAUGUGUAAUUUGUGUGCAAUGCAUCAUUGAUGUUUCAAAAUGUUGUUGCUUGAUGGCCUGGGUCUACUCAUGAUACAACUAUAAUUAACCAUUCCGAUUGAAAAGAUGCAUUGGUGUUUGUAAAAGAAGACUCCCUGUAUAUCAUUGAAAAGUAGAUUAAAACUAGAAAAUAUGCAAGCUGUUAUUAUAGCUGCCAUGCUGCAUAAUAUCGUCAGAAGUAUGAAUUUAGAAGAAUUAGAAUCAGAAAUUUCAGUCGCAGAUACAUUACAGGAAAAUAAUAUAAUUGUUCGUAACAAUUUUUCAAAACUUACAUCUGAAAUACAACUAUGUACUUAUAAAUAAUUGCUUCCAAAGAUAAUUUAUAAAAUAAACUCCAAAGAUAA